rnacentral:rRNA from 1 species
GAACGGGUGAGUAAUACAUAAAUAAUCUACCAUAAUGACUGGGAUAACCGAUGGAAACGCUGGCUAAUACCGGAUAGGUAAAACGAGGGCAUCUUUGUUUUAUUAAAGUAGGACUACUACACAAUAUGAUGAGUUUAUGGCGCAUUAGCUAGUUGGUGAGGUAACGGCUCACCAAGGCGAUGAUGCGUAGCCGACCUGAGAGGGUGACCGGCCACACUGGGACUGAGACACGGCCCAGACUCCUACGGGAGGCAGCAGUAGGGAAUUUUCGGCAAUGGGCGCAAGCCUGACCGAGCAACGCCGCGUGAGUGAAGAAAGCCUUCGGGUUGUAAAGCUCUGUUGUAAGGGAAGAACACUUUUUAGAGGAAAUGCUAGAGAGCUGACGGUACCUUACCAGAAAGCCACGGCUAACUACGUGCCAGCAGCCGCGGUAAUACGUAGGUGGCGAGCGUUAUCCGGAAUUAUUGGGCGUAAAGGGUGCGUAGGCGGUUUAUUAAGUCUGUGGUGAAAGUGCGGGGCUCAACCCCGUAUGGCCACAGAAACUGAUAGACUAGAGUACAGGAGAGGGCAGUGGAAUUCCAUGUGUAGCGGUAAAAUGCGUAGAUAUAUGGAGGAACACCGGUGGCGAAGGCGGCUGCCUGGCCUGUAACUGACGCUGAGGCACGAAAGCGUGGGGAGCAAAUAGGAUUAGAUACCCUAGUAGUCCACGCUGUAAACGAUGAUUACUAAGUGUUGGAGAAAUUCAGUGCUGCAGUUAACGCAAUAAGUAAUCCGCCUGGGGAGUAUGCACGCAAGUGUGAAACUCAAAGGAAUUGACGGGACCCCGCACAAGCGGUGGAGUAUGUGGUUUAAU